UACUAGAGUAGCACUCGCAUAUCAAUAAGCGGAGGAAAAGAAACUAACAAGGAUUCCCCUAGUAACGGCGAGUGAAGCGGGAAGAGCUCAAAUUUGAAAUCUUAAAGGGUUUCCCUUUACGAAUUGUAGUUUAAAGAAGUGUUUUCUGUUGAGGUUUUGGUAAAAGUUCUUUGGAAUAGGACAUCAUAGAGGGUGAGAAUCCCGUAUUUGACCUUUACUUUCAACUUUGUGAUACACUUUCAAAGAGUCGGAUUGUUUGGGAAUGCAGUCCAAAAUGGGUGGUAAAUUUCAUCUAAAGCUAAAUAUUGGCGAGAGACCGAUAGCGAACAAGUACCGUGAGGGAAAGAUGAAAAGAACUUUGAAAAGAGAGUUAAACAGUACGUGAAAUUGUCAAAAGGGAAGCGUUUGACACCAGUGUUGUUUUUCUGAAAAUCAAUUAAAGAACUGUUUAUGCUAAGUUGUUUAGACUUUAUCAGCUAUCUGCUUAGUUUUGAGCUUUUCUUUAAUGCACUUUUCAGUUAACAAGUCAACAUCAAUUUCUUUUGCUGUAAAAAAGCUUGAGGAAGGUGGCUUGAGAUUCGUCUUAAGUGUUUAUAGCCUCUCGCCUAUGCAGUCGGAGAGAUUGAGGUCUGCAGCGUAGAUCCUUCGGGGCUAAAUGCAUUUGUGCUAAGUUAUAGCAUUUUAUAGACAACUUGUUGACUAUGAUUUGUCUUGUAGCUUACUCGCUUAUGUUAUUUUACCUACGCUUAGGAUGUUGAGUAGCGACAUACGCAC
rnacentral:rRNA from 1 species